rnacentral:rRNA from 1 species
CAUUAGUAUAGUGACCUAAGUCCUGUUCCCAUUCCGAACACAGAAGUUAAGCUUUGUAACGCCGAUAGUAGUUAGGGGAUCGCCCCUUGCGAGGGUAGGAAGUUGCCACGCG